AGGUCGGAAGAGGCGCGGUGGGACGUGUCUCAAGAAUUGACCGGAUGCUUCCGCUCUUAUGGGCGCACACCACGGCCCCGGUGGUUGGUGCG
rfam:Sulfitobacter mediterraneus strain 1FIGIMAR09 PM02_025, whole genome shotgun sequence.